GGGCUCGUGAUGAGCUGUGUUUGCUGAGCAAGAUGAAGUAAAGUGCAAUGUGAGUCCUCUGAAGUCC
ensembl:snoRNA SNORD64 small nucleolar RNA, C/D box 64